rnacentral:rRNA from 1 species
UACGUAGGGUGCGAGCGUUGUCCGGAAUUAUUGGGCGUAAAGAGCUUGUAGGCGGUUUGUCGCGUCUGCUGUGAAAAUCCGGGGCUCAACCCCGGACUUGCAGUGGGGUACGGGCAGACUAGAGUGUGGUAGGGGAGACUGGAAUUCCUGGUGUAGCGGUGAAAUGCGCAGAUAUCAGGAGGAACACCGAUGGCGAAGGCAGAUCUCUGGGCCGUAACUGACGCUGGAGGAAGCGAAAGCGUGGGGAGCGAACAGG